UUUUAUUUUCAUUUCUAUCAGCAUCUUUAUCUUUAGGAAAGAUAAGAUGUAAACUCGAUUCUAACAUGAACUCUAAAUAAGGAGGCAAUUCAAAUUUCAAAAUCCUCUGAAUUCGAAUCUCAUUUGAAGAAUCUCCUUUUUCCUUUAAACGUGCUCUCCCAUAUCAGAUCAUUUCACAAUUCACUGCCAUUACCACCACCACUAAGCGUGCCGACACCAAAUCAGCAACACCCACUCUAGCUCCACCCCUGCCACUCCGUCCAGUGAACCUUGGUGCAACUUCGUCCUCCGCAACCCCACCCUUUAUCAAAAAUCGAUACUAUGGAAGACAAAUGAUGUGUGGUCUUUUGAUUUCAUCGUGAAUGCAAAAAAGAUAAAUCUGGAAUUUCCCCCGAACCCCCCUUCUCUCUCUCUCUCUCUCUCUCUCUCUCUCUCUCGAUUUCAUCUGGAUUCAAUAUAAAGGCUCUUAUUAUUGAGCAUAAAUUAGGGAUUUUUGUUUUCUACUUGAGAUUUAUGGAAAAUGGGGCGGUAUUUGAUAAAUUCAUACUGAUUUCUUCUACAAAACACCAAUAUCUCAAAAGGUAAUGUAAAAAUUAAGGUAAUUGAUGCUCUGUUUUUUUGGUUUCAGGAUUUCAUUUCUUUUAUGUGCUCUCUUCCUGUGUGAUUCAUCUGGUUUAUAUAUCUGAAAGUAAGUACAUCACAUUCUUUUAUCUAAUCAGUUAAUGUUUUUAAUUUUUGGGUUUCAUUUAUUAAUGGUUCAAUUAACCUUUUUCCCAAUGAUUAACUCUGAUGAAGAAGCAAAUCUAGGUUUUUUUGAUAGAGCUUGGAUUACCCUGUUUGCCAGAGAUGGAAGAUAAAGACAAAGGGUGUAUAUCGAUUUUUUCCCAGUGCUUAAUACAUAACUUUGUGCUUUUUUUUCCAUUUCUUUUUAAUGAUUCUUUAAUAAGGUGUAGCUUACAUUGAAUUGUCAUUUGAAAUAACCAAGCAAGAGCUACCUAAACCAUUUAAUUCUUAUUAACAUUCAUGAUAUGUGGUGAUGAACACGUGUUUUGGUGUAGGUUGUAAUGGCCAAAUAUGCUAACCUGAUUGAACAAAGUCCAAUGGAAUUGACUAUCUGAAAUGGAGUAACUAAAAUAAAAAAUCCAAGUCUAAUGGCAGCAGUUGCCCAUAAAAUGGCUGAAUCAUUUGUAUCUAUAAUGACCAUUCACCGCAACUGAUAGAUUAAGUAUAUAUAUAUAUAUAUAU
rnacentral:lncRNA from 1 species